rnacentral:rRNA from 1 species
UACGUAGGGGGCAAGCGUUGUCCGGAAUCAUUGGGCGUAAAGAGCGUGUAGGCGGCCCGAUAAGUCCGCUGUGAAAGUCCAGGGCUCAACCCUGGAAUGCCAGUGGAAACUGUCGGGCUGGAGUCCGGAAGAGGCGAGUGGAACUCCUGGUGUAGCGGUGGAAUGCGCAGAUAUCAGGAAGAACACCGACGGCGAAGGCAGCUCGCUGGGACGGUACUGACGCUGAGGCGCGAAAGCGUGGGGAGCGAACAGG